UACGUAGGGUCCGAGCGUUAAUCGGAAUUACUGGGCGUAAAGCGCGCGCAGGCGGUUUCUUAAGUCUGAUGUGAAAGCCCACGGCUCAACCGUGGAGGGUCAUUGGAAACUGGGGAACUUGAGUGCAGAAGAGAAAAGCGGAAUUCCACGUGUAGCGGUGAAAUGCGUAGAGAUGUGGAGGAACACCAGUGGCGAAGGCGGCUUUUUGGUCUGUAACUGACGCUGAGGCGCGAAAGCGUGGGGAGCAAACAGG
rnacentral:rRNA from 1 species